ensembl:rRNA 5S_rRNA 5S ribosomal RNA
GUCUACAGCCAUACCACCCUGAAUGCGCCCGAUCUCGUCAGAUCUCAGAAGCAAAGCAGGGUCGGGCCUGGUUAGUACUUGGAUGGGAGAAAUUCUAGAGUUAAAAAGUACAGUAACCA